AGAGUAUAGCUCAGUGGUAGAGUGCGUGCUUAGUGCGCACAAGGUCUUGGGUUCUAUCCCCAGUACCUCCA
rnacentral:tRNA from 1 species